GGGGAAACGCCGAAGUUGGAGAGUCGGGGCAGACUGUAAAUCUGUUGUCGUAAGGCUGAGCGGGUUCAAUUCCCUCUUUCCCCACCA
rnacentral:tRNA from 1 species